AUUAAUUUUCAUUUUAAAUUAUGUUCCUCCUACAAGGCUAAUACAGGCUCUCUCCCCUAACUCCUAUUCAUUACGUCCACGACGUACCGAAUGGCAACACGCAUGGUAAAAACAUGUGUGGCUAAAAUGAAAGGG
rnacentral:ribozyme from 1 species